rnacentral:rRNA from 1 species
CGCCUCUUGAAACUACAUAAGAGGUCCAGCCUGCCCAGUGACUAAGUUCAACGGCCGCGGUAUCCUAACCGUGCGAAGGUAGCGUAAUCACUUGUUCUUUAAAUGAGGACUAGUAUGAAUGGCACCACGAGGGUUAUGCUGUCUCCUUUUUCUAAUCAAUGAAACUGAUCCCCCCGUGAAGAAGCGGGGAUAUAUUUAUAAGACGAGAAGACCCUAUGGAGCUUUAAACUAUGUAACACUGGCUUUCACAUUAAAAUAUUCCAGAAUUUUCAUAGUUACUCUAGCCAUUAUGAUUACUAGUUUUAGGUUGGGGUGACCACGGAGCAAAAAUUAACCUCCAUGUUGAAAGGAGCUACUCCUGAGCCAAAGGCCACGACUUUAAGCACUAAUAAAUUAACAUUAAUUGACCCAAUAUUUUUGAUCAACGAACCAAGUUACCCUAGGGAUAACAGCGCA